AGGGAAUCUUCCACAAUGGACGCAAGUCUGAUGGAGCAACGCCGCGUGAGUGAAGAAGGUCUUCGGAUCGUAAAGCUCUGUUGUUGGUGAAGAAGGAUAGAGGCAGUAACUGGUCUUUAUUUGACGGUAAUCAACCAGAAAGUCACGGCUAACUACGUGCCAGCAGCCGCGGUAAUACGUAGGUGGCAAGCGUUGUCCGGAUUUAUUGGGCGUAAAGCGAGCGCAGGCGGAAUGAUAAGUCUGAUGUGAAAGCCCACGGCUCAACCGUGGAACUGCAUCGGAAACUGUCAUUCUUGAGUGCAGAAGAGGAGAGUGGAACUCCAUGUGUAGCGGUGGAAUGCGUAGAUAUAUGGAAGAACACCAGUGGCGAAGGCGGCUCUCUGGUCUGCAACUGACGCUGAGGCUCGAAAGCAUGGGUAGCGAACAGGAUUAGAUACCCUGGUAGUCCAUGCCGUAAACGAUGAGCGCUAGGUGUUGGGGACUUUCCGGUCCUCAGUGCCGCAGCAAACGCAUUAAGCGCUCCGCC
rnacentral:rRNA from 1 species